rnacentral:snRNA from 1 species
GUACUAUUGGACGGGGUCAAUGGGCGAUCAAUAAGACCCAUAGCCUAGGUUGGUGACCUUCAUUGCACUUUGGAGGGGUGCCCGCCUAAGGUCGACCUAAGUGGCCGAGCCUACGUGAUAAUUUGUGGCAGCGGGGCCUUGCAUUCACGCAGCCCCUAC